UACGGAGGGAGCUAGCGUUGUUCGGAAUUACUGGGCGUAAAGCGCACGUAGGCGGCGAUUCAAGUCAGAGGUGAAAGCCCGGGGCUCAACCCCGGAACUGCCUUUGAAACUAGAUUGCUAGAAUCCUGGAGAGGUGAGUGGAAUUCCGAGUGUAGAGGUGAAAUUCGUAGAUAUUCGGAAGAACACCAGUGGCGAAGGCGACUCACUGGACGAUUGUUGACGCUGAGGUGCGAAAGCGUGGGGAGCAAACAGG
rnacentral:rRNA from 1 species